CGGGACGUGGCGUAGUUUGGUAGCGCAUCCGGCUGGGGGCCGGAAGGUCGCCGGUUCAAAUCCGGCCGUCCCGACCU
rnacentral:tRNA from 1 species